rnacentral:sRNA from 12 species
GAAGCGUGAACCAAGCGGCGGCGAGAGUCGCGUGAGACUUGGAGCUGGCCUCGGCAACGAGGCCAUGCA